UACGGAGGGUGCAAGCGUUAUCCGGAUUCACUGGGUUUAAAGGGUGCGUAGGUGGGUUGAUAAGUCAGUGGUGAAAUCCCCAGGCUUAACCUGGGAACUGCGUCUGAUACUGGAUGGCUUGAAUUCGGGAGAGGGAUGCAGAAUUCCAGGUGUAGCGGUGAAAUGCGUAGAUAUCUGGAGGAACACCGGUGGCGAAGGCGGCAUCCUGGACCGACACUGACGCUGAGGCGCGAAAGCCAGGGGAGCAAACGGG
rnacentral:rRNA from 1 species